AAAUUGAAGAGUUUGAUCAUGGCUCAGAUUGAACGCUGGCGGCAGGCCUAACACAUGCAAGUCGAACGGUAACAGGAAACAGCUUGCUGUUUUGCUGACGAGUGGCGGACGGGUGAGUAAUGUCUGGGAAACUGCCUGAUGGAGGGGGAUAACUACUGGAAACGGUAGCU
rnacentral:rRNA from 1 species